ensembl:snRNA U6 U6 spliceosomal RNA
AUGCUUAUUUUGGCAGCAAAUAUGCCAAAAUUGGAACAAUACAGAAAAGAUCAUCAUGGCCCUGAGCAAGCAUGACAUGCAGAUUCUAAAGAAUAAUAAAAAAUGU